GAUGAACGCUAGCGGCAGGCCUAAUACAUGCAAGUCGAGGGGCAUCGCGGUGCAGCAAUGAACUGGCGGCGACCGACGUACGGGUGCGUAACGCGUAUGCAACCUGCCCCGCACCGGGGGAUAGCCCGCCGAAAGGCGGAUUAAUACCCCAUGGUCCCGGGGGCCCGCAUGGGCAUCCGGGUAAAGCCUUGGCGGUGCGGGAUGGGCAUGCGUGCCAUUAGCUGGCUGGUGGGGUAACGGCCCACCAGGGCAACGAUGGCUAGGGGGUCUGAGAGGAUGGUCCCCCACACUGGUACUGAGACACGGACCAGACUCCUACGGGAGGCAGCAGUGAGGAAUAUUGGUCAAUGGGCGGAAGCCUGAACCAGCCAUGCCGCGUGCGGGAUGAAGGCCCUACGGGUUGUAAACCGCUUUUCCCCGGGAAGAAUAACCCCGAUGAGUCGGGUGAUGCCGGUACCGGGGAAUAAGGAUCGGCUAACUCCGUG
rnacentral:rRNA from 1 species